rnacentral:rRNA from 1 species
UGGGGAAUUUUGCACAAUGGGGGAAACCCUGAUGCAGCGACGCCGCGUGAUUUAGAAGGCCUUCGGGUUGUAAAAAUCUUUUCUAUGGGAAGAAAAUGACAGUACCAUAGGAAUAAGGACCGGCUAAUUACGUGCCAGCAGCCGCGGUAAUACGUAAGGUCCGAGCGUUGUCCGGAAUCAUUGGGCGUAAAGGGUACGUAGGCGGGUAAGCAAGUUAGAAGUGAAAUCAUAUAGCACAACUAUAGUAAGCUUUUAAAACUGCUCAUCUUGAGGUAUGGAAGGGAAAGUGGAAUUCCUAGUGUAGCGGUGAAAUGCGCAGAUAUUAGGAGGAAUACCGGUGGCGAAGGCGACUUUCUGGCCAUAACCUGACGCUGAGGUACGAAAGCGUGGGUAGCAAACAGG